CUCCCGAGGUACUGAAUAAAAGGUGCAGUAAGCUGGGGGCUUGUGUCUCCGCUGCCCAGAGCAGCACUGAUCAAACCCAAAGCUCAGCUUCUUCUCAGUCUCAUUUGUCUACCUUUCCUGUAAUUUGCCUUAUGCUGCCGUGGCUCGCAGCGGACUAGAACUUACUGCAGAAGUUCUGACACAGUCUAGCUCUGUAGGUCAGGCUGGCCUUGAACUCAGAACUCAUGCCAUUGUCCUGCCUCUGCCUCCUGAGCACUGGGAUGACAGGGUGCACCACUCUGCCUGGGAUCAAACUCGGGUCCUUGCGCUUUUGAGGCAGGCAGCAGAACCACUGAGCUAAAUCCCCAGCCUUCUCCGAUUUAUUGAAAUAGAUCGAACUCGGGGACCCUGCACUUGCAAGGCAGGCUGUGGAACUACUGAGCUAACUCCCCAGCCCAAAAGGAUGACUUCUAACAAAAUGACUGGGUUAGAGGCUUUGAGAUGUUGGCCAUCACCUAAGAGAACAGGUAAGAUUGAAGUUGAUAGAGACUGAAGGUAAACUUAGCCCAAGAGCUGCUCCUUCUACCUCCUUGCUGCUCAGAGGUGGCUGGGGGCACAUGGACUCUGAGUCCCUAGUCUCUUCCCCUCCAAUUCAGGGUCAGAUAAGACCAACAACCACUGGUGCACACCUAUUAUCCCACCACUCAGGGAGGCUGAAUCAGGAGGAUUGCAAGUUGGACCCCAGUAUGGGCAACUUAGAGAGACCUUGUCUCAAAAUUUUAAAAGAGGCUGGGGACAGAACUCAGUGUAAAGGCCCUGGGUUCCAUACCAGCAAGGAAAAACGAAAACCAAAACAACACAAAAGUAAAUGCAGAGGCCGAGGACUUAGCUCAGUGGUUUUGUCACCUGCUGCGCAAGUGCAGGGACCCAAGUUUGAUCCCUGAUACAAAAAAAAAAGUAAAUGCAGGGGCCGGGGAUUUAGCUCAGUGGUACCAGUGCCUGCCUGGUACAAGGUCCUGAGUUUGAUCGCUUGUACAGAAAAAAAAAAAAGUAGGCAUUGCUGAUUGCAGGAGAAUUGUAAAAAUCAAGAUGGAGAAGGGGCCAGGGAUUUAGCUC
rnacentral:lncRNA from 1 species